AUUGAACGCUGGCGGCAGGCCUAACACAUGCAAGUCGAACGAGCGGCGGACGGGUGAGUAAUGUCUGGGAAACUGCCCGAUGGAGGGGGAUAACUACUGGAAACGGUAGCUAAUACCUCAUACCAUCGGAUGUGCCCAUAUGGGAUUAGCUAGUAGGUGGGGUAACGGCUCCCCUAGGCGACGAUCCCUAGCUGGUCUGAGAUGAUGACCAGCCACGCUGAAACUGCGACACGGUCCAGCAUCCUACGGGAGGCAGCAGUGGGGCAUAUUGCACAAUGGGCUCAAGCCUGAUGCAGCCAUGCCGCUUGUAUGAAGAAGGCCUUCGGGUUGUAAGGUACUUUCAGCGAGGAGGCGUUACUCGCAGAAGAAGCACCGGCUAACUCCGUGCCAGCAGCCGCGGUAAUAC
rnacentral:rRNA from 1 species